AUGACGAAUUUGGGAGAGACUGCAAAUAGCAGCGCCGAAGGUGAAACCGCAACAAACUCUCAGGCAAAAGGACCGAAUUCUGACG
rnacentral:ncRNA from 1 species